AUACUUCGGUUUCUCUUCAGAUCGCAUAAAUCUUUCACCUUUUACUAAAGAUUUCCGUGGAAUAUAAUACCUACAUGUCAUCUAUGAGGGGGUUUCAGAAACUAAUGGCUAUAUGAGU